GCCCUCUCAGGGUCGCACUUGGGGAGUUUCCAAUACUCUACCAGUCUUGGUUAUGGGAGGGAGAAUCAUGCAGACGAAUACCUAUUCCAGUCCUAGCUUGGGCAAUGGCUAGUGAGUGGAAGGCAAUCUGCUACUAGU